AGGUUAUGAAGCAGAGAUAAAACAGAGGUGUGACAUCUUUUCAGGUUCUUCCUAAUGAGGGCAAUGGAUUGCAGUCUGUCCGUGUUGCCAUGGCGAUGCAGUUUGCAGUCAAUGGAAGUGUGUGGCAGUCAGACUGAAGCAGCAGCAGGGCGCGAGACAGACAGAGACUAAUGCUGGAAACAAAUCAAACCGAGCGCUGAAAACUGCUGCGAUACUCAAAGCGCUACUCAUUCUGAUUAAAGGUGAAUCUGUCUUCAUAAAGAGCAUGCUUGAGAACAAUCUUAAGAUAACUAAAAUUAAGAAGUUGGUGAAUCUGUUCAUUAGUGUUCACACACCUGUGUCCAUGAAGAGCAUAUCUUCAGAAGAAAUGAUCUGUCAAGGAUACAAAGAAAAAUCAAGGGAUUUUUCUCCUGAGCUACGAGAGAGCAACCUAUAAGCAAUGAAGGUGUCCUUUGUGUAAUUUCCAGCAAUAUGAAAUGCUGUGACACAUUAUAGAGCGUGAAGCUGAGCUGAAGAACUCUUUGUUGUAUUGGAUGGUGUUCACACUAAAUUAAACUGCUGUCGAUGCAGAACUCAAUGUUAAAUUUGGCUCAUCGCAGCUCAUCACAGAUAUAAUAGCCCUCUGUAUGCCAGUAUGUAACUCUUAAAUGCAUGCUUCAUUCAAAAAUGAAAAUUGUCAUCUAUUUACUCACC
ensembl:lncRNA